rnacentral:rRNA from 1 species
AAACUAACUAGGAUUCCCUUAGUAACGGCGAGUGAACCGGGAUGAGCUCAAAUUUAAAAUCUGGCGUCUUUCAGGCGUCCGAGUUGUAAUCUAUAGAGGCGUUUUCCGCGCCGGACCGCGUCCAAGUCCCUUGGAAUAGGGUAUCAAAGAGGGUGACAAUCCCGUACUUGACGCGACAACCGGUGCUCUGUGAUACGUUCUCAACGAGUCGAGUUGUUUGGGAAUGCAGCUCUAAAUGGGUGGUAAAUUCCAUCUAAGGCUAAAUAUUGGCGAGAGACCGAUAGCGAACAAGUACCGUGAGGGAAAGAUGAAAAGCACUUUGGAAAGAGAGUUAAACAGCACGUGAAAUUGUUAAAAGGGAAACGAUUGAAGUCAGUCGUGUGGGAGGUAUUCAGCCGUCUCUGGCGGUGUAUUUGCCUCUCACGGGUCAACAUCAGUUUGAUCCGGUGGAAAAAGGCGGGAGGAAGGUGGCACCUUCGGGUGUGUUAUAGCCUCCUGUCAAAUGCAUCGGACCAGACUGAGGAACGCAGCUCGCAGCAAUGCCGGGGUUCGCCCACGUACGAGCUUAGGAUGUUGACAUAAUGGCUUUAAACGAC